rnacentral:tRNA from 1 species
GUUACGGUAGUGUAAUGGAUAAGCACAACAGACUGAAUAUCUGUAGAUACCGGUUUGAGACUCGUCUGAGAUU